rnacentral:rRNA from 1 species
UACAGAGGGUGCGAGCGUUAAUCGGAAUUACUGGGCGUAAAGCGCACUUAGGCGGCGACGUAAGUCGGGUGUGAAAGCCCCGGGCUCAACCUGGGAAUUGCAUUCGAGACUGCAUUGCUGGAGUACAGAAGAGGAGGGCGGAAUUCCCGGUGUAGCGGUGAAAUGCGUAGAUAUCGGGAGGAACAUCAGUGGCGAAGGCGGCCCUCUGGUCCAGUAUUGACACUCAAGUGCGAAAGCGUGGGGAGCAAACAGG